rnacentral:rRNA from 1 species
UACGUAGGGUGCAAGCGUUGUCCGGAAUUAUUGGGCGUAAAGAGCUUGUAGGCGGUUUGUCGCGUCUGCUGUGAAAUUUCGGGGCUCAACCCCGAACUUGCAGUGGGUACGGGCAGACUAGAGUGUGGUAGGGGAGACUGGAAUUCCUGGUGUAGCGGUGAAAUGCGCAGAUAUCAGGAGGAACACCGGUGGCGAAGGCGGGUCUCUGGGCAACUACUGACGCUGAGGAGCGAAAGCGUGGGGAGCGAACAGG